rnacentral:rRNA from 1 species
GAGUUCCUAUAUGAUCACCGAAGUUGAGCAACAUCGAGCCUGGUCAGUACCUAGAUGGGUGACCGUUUGGGAAUACCAGGUGCUAUC